UUAAGUUAUUAAGGGCGCACGGUGGAUGCCUUGGCACUAGAAGCCGAUGAAGGACGUUACUAACGACGAUAUGCUUUGGGGAGCUGUAAGUAAGCUUUGAUCCAGAGAUUUCCGAAUGGGGAAACCCAGCAUGAGUUAUGUCAUGUUAUCGAUAUGUGAAUACAUAGCAUAUCAGAAGGCACACCCGGAGAACUGAAACAUCUUAGUACCCGGAGGAAGAGAAAGAAAAUUCGAUCCCCUUAGUAGCGGCGAGCGAAACGGGAAGAGCCCAAACCAACAAGCUUGCUUGUUGGGGUUGUAGGACACUCUAUACGGAGUUACAAAGGACGACAUUAGACGAAUCAUCUGGAAAGAUGAAUCAAAGAAGGUAAUAAUCCUGUAGUCGAAAAUGUUGUCUCUCUUGAGUGGAUCCUGAGUACGACGGAGCACGUGAAAUUCCGUCGGAAUCUGGGAGGACCAUCUCCUAAGGCUAAAUACUCUCUAGUGACCGAUAGUGAACCAGUACCGUGAGGGAAAGGUGAAAAGCACCCCGGAAGGGGAGUGAAAUAGAACCUGAAACCGUGUGCUUACAAGUAGUCAGAGCCCGUUAAUGGGUGAUGGCGUGCCUUUUGUAGAAUGAACCGGCGAGUUACGAUUUGAUGCAAGGUUAAGCAGUAAAUGUGGAGCCGUAGCGAAAGCGAGUCUGAAUAGGGCGUUUAGUAUUUGGUCGUAGACCCGAAACCAGGUGAUCUACCCUUGGUCAGGUUGAAGUUCAGGUAACACUGAAUGGAGGACCGAACCGACUUACGUUGAAAAGUGAGCGGAUGAACUGAGGGUAGCGGAGAAAUUCCAAUCGAACCUGGAGAUAGCUGGUUCUCUCCGAAAUAGCUUUAGGGCUAGCCUCAAGUGAUGAUUAUUGGAGGUAGAGCACUGUUUGGACGAGGGGCCCCUCUCGGGUUACCGAAUUCAGACAAACUCCGAAUGCCAAUUAAUUUAACUUGGGAGUCAGAACAUGGGUGAUAAGGUCCGUGUUCGAAAGGGAAACAGCCCAGACCACCAGCUAAGGUCCCAAAAUAUAUGUUAAGUGGAAAAGGAUGUGGCGUUGCCCAGACAACUAGGAUGUUGGCUUAGAAGCAGCCAUCAUUUAAAGAGUGCGUAAUAGCUCACUAGUCGAGUGACACUGCGCCGAAAAUGUACCGGGGCUAAACAUAUUACCGAAGCUGUGGAUUGUCCUUUGGACAAUGGUAGGAGAGCGUUCUAAGGGCGUUGAAGCAUGAUCGUAAGAACAUGUGGAGCGCUUAGAAGUGAGAAUGCCGGUGUGAGUAGCGAAAGACGGGUGAGAAUCCCGUCCACCGAUUGACUAAGGUUUCCAGAGGAAGGCUCGUCCGCUCUGGGUUAGUCGGGUCCUAAGCUGAGGCCGACAGGCGUAGGCGAUGGAUAACAGGUUGAUAUUCCUGUACCACCUAUAAUCGUUUUAAUCGAUGGGGGGACGCAGUAGGAUAGGCGAAGCGUGCGAUUGGAUUGCACGUCUAAGCAGUAAGGCUGAGUAUUAGGCAAAUCCGGUACUCGUUAAGGCUGAGCUGUGAUGGGGAGAAGACAUUGUGUCUUCGAGUCGUUGAUUUCACACUGCCGAGAAAAGCCUCUAGAUAGAAAAUAGGUGCCCGUACCGCAAACCGACACAGGUAGUCAAGAUGAGAAUUCUAAGGUGAGCGAGCGAACUCUCGUUAAGGAACUCGGCAAAAUGACCCCGUAACUUCGGGAGAAGGGGUGCUCUUUAGGGUUAACGCCCAGAAGAGCCGCAGUGAAUAGGCCCAAGCGACUGUUUAUCAAAAACACAGGUCUCUGCUAAACCGUAAGGUGAUGUAUAGGGGCUGACGCCUGCCCGGUGCUGGAAGGUUAAGAGGAGUGGUUAGCUUCUGCGAAGCUACGAAUCGAAGCCCCAGUAAACGGCGGCCGUAACUAUAACGGUCCUAAGGUAGCGAAAUUCCUUGUCGGGUAAGUUCCGACCCGCACGAAAGGCGUAACGAUUUGGGCACUGUCUCAACGAGAGACUCGGUGAAAUCAUAGUACCUGUGAAGAUGCAGGUUACCCGCGACAGGACGGAAAGACCCCGUGGAGCUUUACUGUAGCCUGAUAUUGAAAUUCGGCACAGCUUGUACAGGAUAGGUAGGAGCCUUUGAAACGUGAGCGCUAGCUUACGUGGAGGCGCUGGUGGGAUACUACCCUAGCUGUGUUGGCUUUCUAACCCGCACCACUUAUCGUGGUGGGAGACAGUGUCAGGCGGGCAGUUUGACUGGGGCGGUCGCCUCCUAAAAGGUAACGGAGGCGCUCAAAGGUUCCCUCAGAAUGGUUGGAAAUCAUUCAUAGAGUGUAAAGGCAUAAGGGAGCUUGACUGCGAGACCUACAAGUCGAGCAGGGUCGAAAGACGGACUUAGUGAUCCGGUGGUUCCGCAUGGAAGGGCCAUCGCUCAACGGAUAAAAGCUACCCCGGGGAUAACAGGCUUAUCUCCCCCAAGAGUUCACAUCGACGGGGAGGUUUGGCACCUCGAUGUCGGCUCAUCGCAUCCUGGGGCUGUAGUCGGUCCCAAGGGUUGGGCUGUUCGCCCAUUAAAGCGGUACGCGAGCUGGGUUCAGAACGUCGUGAGACAGUUCGGUCCCUAUCCGUCGUGGGCGUAGGAAAUUUGAGAGGAGCUGUCCUUAGUACGAGAGGACCGGGAUGGACAUACCUCUGGUGUACCAGUUGUCGUGCCAACGGCAUAGCUGGGUAGCUAUGUGUGGACGGGAUAAGUGCUGAAAGCAUCUAAGCAUGAAGCCCCCCUCAAGAUGAGAUUUCCCAACUUCGGUUAUAAGAUCCCUCAAAUAUGAUGAGGUUAAUAGGUUCGAGGUGGAAGCAUGGUGACAUGUGGAGCUGACGAAUACUAAUCGAUCGAAGACUUAAUCAA
rnacentral:rRNA from 1 species